rnacentral:rRNA from 1 species
GUCUAUGUGAAUAAAAUAUUUAGUUUGACCUGUCCACUGAGAUUUUAAAGGGCUGCGGUAAUUUGACCGUGCAAAGGUAGCAUAAUCAAUAGUCUUUUAAUUGAUGGCUUGAAUGAAAGGUUUGACGGAAGAGAAGCUGUCUUUUUGACUUAUUUUGAAUUUAACUUUUGUGUGAAAAGGCAUUAAUAAUUUAGAGGGACGAUAAGACCCUAUAAAAUUUUACAUGUAGUAUGUUUUUAAAUAAAAUUGAUUAGUAAAUGUUAAUAGGCAAGAUUUGUUUUGCUGGGGCGGCAGGAAUAUAAGUUUAACUGUUUUAUAUUUAAAAUGCUAUAGGUAGAGAAUGGUCCUUUUAUUAAGGAGAAAAGAGUAAGUUACUUUAGGGAUAACAGCAUAAUUUUUUCUAAGAGUUCUUAUUG